rnacentral:rRNA from 1 species
UACGGAGGGUGCAAGCGUUAUUCGGAUUUAUUGGGCGUAAAGGGCGCGUAGGCGGUUUUGUAAGUCAGAUGUGAAAUCCCGGGGCUCAACCCCGGAAGGGCAUUUGAUACUGCGAGACUUGAGUAUGGGAGGGGGAAGUGGAAUUCCUGGUGUAGAGGUGAAAUUCGUAGAUAUCAGGAGGAACACCAGUGGCGAAGGCGACUUCCUGGACCAAUACUGACGCUGAGGCGCGAAGGCGUGGGGAGCAAACAGG